UACGUAGGGCGCAAGCGUUGUCCGGAAUUAUUGGGCGUAAAGAGCUCGUAGGCGGCCUGUUGCGUCCGCUGUGAAAUCCCGGGGCUCAACCCCGGGCCUGCAGUGGAUACGGGCUGGCGUAGAGGCAGGCAGGGGAGAACGGAAUUCCUGGUGUAGCGGUGAAAUGCGCAGAUAUCAGGAGGAACACCGGUGGCGAAGGCGGUUCUCUGGGCCUGUACUGACGCUGAGGAGCGAAAGCGUGGGGAGCAAACAGG
rnacentral:rRNA from 1 species